GCUGGGAGUUCGGAGGCCGCCGCGGCGCCUGAGGGAGCUCGGUCGCCAUUUUGUGCCUCUCGCUCGGUGCGGGGCGGCCGCGCGGGCGCUGCGGCUCUGACGGAGCGGUUGGCUCUCCUGCUCUGUAGGUCGAGGUGACGCCGCCAUGGGCCGUAAGAAGAAGAAGCAGCUGAAGCCUUGGUGCUGGUAUUGUAAUAGGGAUUUUGAUGAUGAGAAAAUUCUUAUACAGCAUCAAAAAGCAAAGCACUUUAAAUGCCAUAUAUGUCAUAAGAAACUGUAUACAGGACCUGGUUUAGCUAUACACUGCAUGCAGGUACAUAAAGAAACAAUAGAUGCUGUUCCAAAUGCUAUUCCUGGAAGAACAGACAUUGAACUGGAAAUCUAUGGAAUGGAAGGCAUUCCAGAAAAAGAUAUGGAGGAACGGAGGCGGUUACUUGAACAAAAAACUCAGGAGAGCCAGAAAAAGAAACAGCAGGAUGAUUCUGAUGAGUAUGAAGAUGAUGAAUCUGCAGCUUCAACUUCAUUUCAACCCCAGCAAGUUCAGCCACAGCAGGGGUACAUUCCCCCAAUGGCACAGCCAGGUUUGCCUCCUGUGCCAGGUGCACCAGGGAUGCCUCCAGGUAUACCCCCAUUAAUGGCAGGUGUUCCACCUAUGAUGCCUGGAAUGCCUCCAGUUAUGCCUGGAAUGCCACCUGGGAUGAUGCCAAUGGGUGGAAUGAUGCCUCCUGGGCCAGGAAUCCCACCUCUUAUGCCUGGUAUGCCACCAGGGAUGCCCCCACCAGUUGGGCCUCGGCCUGGCAUGCCUCCAAUGACACAAGCACAGCCUGUUACAGCCCCAGGCAUUCUGAACCGGCCUCCAGCUCCUGCUGCAACGGCACCCACCCCACAACCUCCAGUUACUAAACCACUCUUCCCAAGCGCAGGGCAGAUGGGGACACCUGUCACAAGCUCAAGUACAGCUUCCUCCAAUUCAGAAAGUCUCUCAGCAUCUUCUAACGCUCUGUUUCCUAGCACAGCACAAGCUGCAGCAGCUGUGCCAGGGCCAGUUGGUACUGAUUUCAAACCUUUGAAUUCCACACCUGCAACAACAACGGAACCCCCCAAACCAACAUUCCCUGCUUAUACACAGUCUACAGCCUCAACCACUAGCACGACAAACAGCACUGCAGCUAAAGCAGCUACAUCUAUCACAAGUAAGCCUGCUACCCUCACAACAACCAGUGCAACCAGUAAGUUGAUCCAUCCAGAUGAGGAUAUAUCACUGGAAGAGAGAAGGGCACAGUUGCCUAAAUACCAGCGCAAUCUUCCUCGACCAGGCCAGGCUGCCCUGGGUAAUCCACCAGUUGGACCAAUUGGAGGUAUGAUGCCACCACAACCAGGAAUUCCUCCACAACAACAAGGAAUGAGACCUCCCAUGCCACCUCAUGGUCAGUAUGGUGCUCAUCACCAGGGCAUGCCAGGAUAUCUUCCUGGAGCAAUGCCUCCAUACGGUCAGGGACCCCCGAUGGUGCCCCCGUACCAGAGUGGACCUCCUCGCCCUCCGAUGGGAAUGAGACCGCCCGUAAUGUCGCAAGGUGGCCGCUACUGAUGCUCCUACUCACACUCUAAUAGGUUUUUAGAAGUGAAGUAUAGUAAAUAUGGUUCGUUAAAUUGUGAAGGCGCUGGAAUUACAUGAACAUACCACCUUAAAGCCCUGCCAUAGGACAGGCUGAGGCAGAGUCUCAGUGUUGCCCUGUUCAGUCUGAGCAGCAGAAUUUCAGCAUUUGCUACUUACUGGUAGAGAAGAAAAAUUCCACAGAACUGCCAGUACAGGUUAGUUUAAUCUGUAAGUACCUGAUGUUCCUAUUUGAAAUAAUUUGUUCAAAUGAUACCACAUAAAUACCUGAGGGGAAUUUUGGUCUCUGAACUGUGAUUGUUACCUUCUACUCAUUCCAGUAGUGAGGGAACAGACUAGACUUUUUUUGGAAGAUCUGUAAUUGAUUUAACUGUGUUUGUGGACAGGUAAAAAAAUACUGCAAGCACCUUUAAGGAAAAUUUAAUACAGAAUCUUGACAAGCAGCCUUUGAUGUUACUGAAGAGUGUGAAAAUCUGAAAUCACUGUGGUAACAUGCUAAUAUUAAUGAGGCUGUUUUUUAUCGGCAAACCAACAGGAUCCUGUGUUUGUUGUGUUGGGGAUUAAGCAUUUCUGCUUAAGCAUUUGUAAGAAUCCAUAGCAGUUUGUAAUCUUCCAUUUUCUUUAGCUAUUGCUAAUUACCCUUUUCACCCACAGAUUUUUUACUCUAGGCCAGUAAGCCAGGAGAUUGUUCAUGUAUGUUUUUUAAAUUAUGUAUUUAUUACUUCUGUUAGUUCAUUUCAGCACUUCAGAGGCUACCUACAAAUGUGGUUUUGUCCAACUGUUUUAUACUCCAGAGUUACUGCUCUGCCUCUCUUUUAAUUCUGCCCUAAUCCAUAUUCCCAGAAAUACUGGUAUUUUAUUUCUGUUGUAUAGAAUAUUUUAUACUUUAAAAUAGGAAAGAUUCUUUGUGAAUGGAUAAAAGAUUCAGCUUUCUCUGGAAUGGCUGCAUACACUUAUUUCUAUUUAGACUUUGUAUAUCUCAUCUCUGCCUAUCAGCACGAAGAGAUGAAAACUUUUUCUGUGCUGUAGCACAGCACAGAGAUCCAGGACUGGAUGGGCUGUAAGACAGUGCUUUAAUUCUCUUUUUAAGGCCAUGAUGUCCCACUCUGAAUUUGAGGGGCUUUUGACGUCACUGAUGGAUUAUUAGUUUGUACUGGGAAGGUCAUAGUUAGGUGGUAGCUAAACAGACACUCAGUUUUGCCAGCUCAUUUGAAGGGUCUAGAGUGGGUUUAUGAGUGACUUGCCACUUCCAGCAGAAUUGCUUGUUUUAGGGUUCUGAAAUCUUAAAUGGUGCUGCAGAAUUCAUCAUAAAAACACAGUUUCAAGGCAAUUGUGUCGUUCCAGGUUUUAGAAUAGUUGGACUUGCAGCCCAUUGCCUGCUGUCUUCCCUACAUCAGUUCUUGGUAAUUUGCACUAAAUUGCUUUGCCUUCAAAAUGAGCUACAGGCAGAUUUCUGACAGAUGUUCCAUAGGUUUUUCUUCCUAGAAGGGAAAAAAAAAAAAGGGAAGUUGUACAUCAAUAUUUGUAAUUUAGAUUUAUCUCUGUUUGCUUAACCUUAAUUGCAGGUGUACAAGAAUAAAAGGGAUACCUUGUUCUGAGGCCAUUACCCUGUUAACAAAAUGUAUCCAUACUUUACACCCUCUGUGGUUGACCCUCGCUGAUACUUAAUGCAAUGCUCCAAACGGAAGUUGGAGGCAGUAACUGCUUUUGGCUC